rnacentral:hammerhead_ribozyme from 1 species
AUCCAGAUGACGAGUCCCGAAUAGGACGAACCGUGCAUCCUGGAU